AGAGUGAACGCUGGCGGCAGGCCUAACACAUGCAGGUCGAACGGCAGCACAGAGGAGCUUGCUCCUUGGGUGGCGAGUGGCGGACGGGUGAGGAAUACGUCGGAAUCUGCCUAUUUGUGGGGGAUAACGUAGGGAAACUUACGCUAAUACCGCAUACGACCUACGGGUGAAAGCGGAGGACCUUCGGGCUUCGCGCAGAUAGAUGAGCCGACGUCGGAUUAGCUAGUUGGCGGGGUAAAGGCCCACCAAGGCGACGAUCCGUAGCUGGUCUGAGAGGAUGAUCAGCCACACUGGAACUGAGACACGGUCCAGACUCCUACGGGAGCAGCAGUGGGGAAUA
rnacentral:rRNA from 1 species